AAACCCGAUUAGAAUGGACCGUCUAUUGUCGCUAAAGAGGAAGAAACCCCGGUUAGACCGGGUGAAAAGCUGAGGGCGAGCAGAACUCUUGUGAAAUAAAUAGUGGCGCUGGGUGAAAGGGGCUCGAGUCGAACCCCUGAAAGUUUGAGACGCUUUGUUCAAAGCUGUAGUCUUAAUUAGGCUACGAAUGAAAUCUGACUGGAUAUGUGAACGUUAUACAUCCAGCAAACAUUUAAUCGCUUAAUAAUAACUCCAUCACCAAACGCACGAAAUCACAACCAUCCUAUUAUCAACAAUAAAAUUCACACUUUCAUCAAUGAACUGUGCAAAAGACGAAGUAAAACUAUUGGCAUGCACUGGAGCUGCUGCCAGUUUGGCCGCUGUAACAGCGCCUAUAUAAUGGGUUGCGCUAUCAUGAUGGAGAGCGGGAAUAAAAUUGAGUUCGAUAGCUUAGACACAGAGGGUGAAGCCUAAUGUUUUGACACUUAAAAGGUGAUUCUGAAUGUUAUUGUUUACCGGUGUUGUUUAAUUGUGAUCCAAUAAGGGCGGAAGUUCCUGCUGUAAUGGCACUGUAAACCGGCUUUUUGUGCAUGAAUACUGAAGCUUGCGCUUCACUACAGGCUUUACAGGCUUAUAAUGUCUGGAUCGGGCUGCCAUCUAGCGUACAGUAGCCAGACAAUUACAGGGAAAUAGCAGUGAAUCAUUUAUUGUUAGCAGGAAUUUCUCAAAAGAUUACUGAGAGAUUUUUUUUAUAGCAUUUAGUGAGAAUUGUUUUUAUUUUUUUUUAAAUGUAUUUUAAAACCCAUCGGCUGUAUUUCCGCAACGCAGAUCAGCGCUAUUGUCUUUGGUAACAUUUGUUAUUCCGAACAUUUGGCAUAAGUUGGAAAUGUGCGCUUAUUAGUUCGGAGGGAUUGUCAUUAAAAUGAUUUUGUAUGUGAUUUAUUUUGUGUAAAAAAAAAACAGUAUUCAGAUAAUACUACAUAUAGAACCUUGUGUAAACCCGUAUGCCGACAAAUUACAGCGAAACACUAUUUCGGAAGUUAGACAUUAAACAGGAUCAGAUCCUCGCUACGCGGUUGUUUCCGUCAGAGUGUUUGCGCCGAGUUUCCCUGCGUGUCUUCUGGAAGCGUUCCGCAAACGCACCGCGCUGCCCUCUGUCCUUAUGAAAAAAGGUGAAACGAACGGGAUUAAAUCAGACAAAGGGCAAACUUCUGUAAGUGUAUCAUCAAGAUUUUACUCGACAGACUAGGAAGAGAGCGAGGGAGAGGCAAGAGAGAGGGAGAGGGGCAGCGAAUGGGAACGCAAGGCGAAGGCAGGGAAACAGCGCGCGAGGACAAGAGAACAGGGAGAAGUGGACACCACUGCAAUGAGACGCCUUUACACUGAAACACCGUUUCCUUCAAUUCCGCUCUUAACACAUAGGUUUGGCUAACAAUGAAACUUGAGCAGCUGCAGGUAUGUCUAUACACACAUGCCCACACACAGUGCAAUAAUAUCAUAAUAAUAUCAGCAACAUAAUACCACUGUUUAUGCAGUAUAGGAGAUUUUGUUGCCCAGGGGCUGCGAUAUUUCUCAUCCAUUUCUACAACGAAGGUACUAAUUUUCACCUGGUGACUUAUAUAGAAAAGCAUAAUUGAAUUACAUUAAAAUAUUGUCUGCUGUAUAACAUUUCAGUGUGUAUACUUUGUAUAUUUAAAUUAUAUUUUGUACGUUUAUGUAUAACACAACAAUAUUACUGUACUGAAUAAACAACCUAUGCUCUUGUCAGAUAGGACCACCUGGAUGCUCUUGCAUUGGUCUUAACCACUGAAUGUCUACAGACUGAGAGGGGCAGUUGAGAAUUUCAGUUUUCCAUCUUUGCCCAUCUUGUCAGUAUUUGAGUGUAAUCAUUCCCUCAUCAUUACUGCCAUGCUGAAAUGUCAUUUUUGGACAAACCACUUGACUAAGUGUGGGCUUUGGACACACUUUCUGUCAUUCUUCGCAUCUGGCAGGCAGAUGAUUGAAUUUGUUCAUGAAAGUGUGUGUGUCCACCUAUACGUACUGUUCCUGCCUCUCUCUGUUCCAGCAUGUUCGUCAUGAAUAUGGAAAGCUGUGGUGACUUAAUGUGACAACUCUGUUAGUUGCAGUCUGUUUCUUAUGAAAAUGCACCAAACUUGCUAACACAAUCAACAGCGAUGAUUGUGUUGUUUAUAAAGAUAACAUGAACUCAAGAAUGCUUCGCUAAGACAUACAUUAAAUAUGUUGGAAUGGGAAUGAUUGUAAAUAUUUUGUCUGAAUCACUGCAUUCUUAAAGCUCUAUUUGUUCUCUCUUAAUGAUGUGUAUUAUCUGUCUGCAAUAUCAGACAUUCUUUCAGCCGUAUAUAUGCAGAAGUCAUAAAAUUGGAGCUCGGAGUGGAUUGAUAAAAUGGCAGACAGUGGAAGAGUUCACACACAUUCAGAAAAAUGUAAAAUAUUGAGCCUUUAAGGGUUUUUAUCUUCAAGGGAACCAUUAAAGUAAAACUCUUUUGGAAGAGUUUGAAACUCUUUUGCUAUCCUAACUAAAAACAUUUGGAGGCUGAGAACCAUAUUAAUAACCAGUACAGACACACACACUGAAAAACAAACACAGGAAGUGCUAUGCCUACAUCUCUGUUUAUGCUCUGUCCUUCUCUCACACUGUACAAUGUGUGUGUCCUCUUUCACCUCUCUGUAUCAGCUCUAUCAGAUCUGAGGAGGAAAGAAUGCAGCAGUCAUUCCUAAACACACACAUUCCUCUAGGCUAGCUUUAUAAUACCCCGGUCUGAAACAUGCAUUGCAACUUUAAUUUUAUGUUAACAUUAAAAAACAAUGCACAAAAUGUAUUUACAGUUGUGUUUUUUGUCAGGCUUCCUGUAUAACAACUGAAUUAUAUUGGAAAUGUGUAUUAAGCGUAGAUACUACCUGUGUAUCAUGUGAGACGUGUAAACUGUAUAAACUAUUAACGGCUGUAAUGUAACUAUAAUGUAAAUACUGACCAUGUUUAUACUGUCCCAGCUGGAUUGCAGUGUAUUUGUAUAAAUGUAUAUAUAUAUAUAUAUAUAUAUAUAUAUAUAUAUAUAUAUAUAUAUAUAUAUAUAUAUAUAAAAUAGUAACUGAAUUUAGCAGUAAAUCCACUAACUUGAAAAAUUUUGCUAAAGGCAAAAGAAAAAGUCAACAGCAUAAAGGAGAUGUAAAGAAAAAAAGAGAUAGAACAAAAAACAAUAUAAUUUUUAAAAAAGGAAAAGAAAGUAAGUAAGAAUAAAGAUAAAUGAACUCAGCCACAUCUUUUAUUAUCCUAAUCAUGACUGCACAGUAUGUGGCUGCUAAAUAUCUCCUCAUAUUCCAAAAUGAUAAUUGGCUUACUUAAUGUUCACUGUUAUCGUUUGAUGCUAAUGUCAUGUCUGACAGAGCAUCAAGAACAAGUAUUAUACCAUUUUGGCCCCUCGUUGUGUCCUGCACUUUUCCUUCUAGGUAUUUGGGAUUUACCCAUGCCAGCGUGAACAAAAGCUGUGCUUCCUCCUCUAUCAGAGCAUGGUUAAAGGUAAGUGGCACCCCCUAUUAGGAUGACAAGGAAAUUAAUGUGUGUCCCCUGGUUCUGUAUUACCUAUUUAUAGGUGAACACCUUUUCCUUUCUUUGGGCAUGUCUGGGCAUUUUGAGAGUACAGGUGAACACCAUAUACACCUGAGAUACAACUGGCAUGAAAGCAGAUAUACAGUCUAUUGUUAAUCUUCAAAAUAUGACUUCAACCUUUAGUGUAAUUGUACAACACUACUGGAGGAAACAUUGUGUAUUUGAAUGAAAUAAAUUGACCACAAGCAUGUACAUCUUGUCGUUUCCUUCGCCCCCCACUCAUUUCUGGAGUCUCCCUUUGUCUGAUAUCACAUGGUUUAUCGAGGGCAUUAUUGUGUACAGCCCUCAAAGGACCAAGAUGCUUCCCUUUGCGGAUCACGUGGCCCGAUCAUGUGUGUAGUUAUGAAUUUCUUAUUGGCUGGCAACAAUGUGGUAUGUAUUACUGGAUUUUUUUAUUGGGUGGGGUGGGGUGUCUAUGGGCAUAACCUUUGUAUAGAAGCAUAGCAAAGCUUUUAACCAUUCGUGGUGCUGAAGGGACCACAGCCCUAAUUUUGUGGGUGAUGACACCUGCCCUUUUCAGCAGGCUGAAGGAGAAGCCAUGGGAAUGCUUGCAUGCAACAGAGGGUCUGAAUGUUGGAACAAUGUGCAUGAAUGUGCUGCCACAUGAACAAUGCAACACCACAUGGUGAGGUGAUGGUGGGUGGAAAAGAGAUCGCUGUUUUCAAUGCCCACCCCCACUGUGAUUCCCCUCUCUCUUUCUCUUUCUCCUCCUGUAUUCCGCUCCUCUUUAGUGGACCUUCCUAUAAAUCUUUCCUGUCAUACCUGUUUUUUGUGCAGUGUGAAUAAGUAAACAGCAAAUCCCAAUGUCCUGCCUUUAAGAGGACACAGCCCAAUAGACACAAGACACACAGGAUACAGGAUUAUGGCCUGUAUCAUGCAGUAGCUGUAUUUAUAAUCUGUCUUUCAUCCCUCUGUGUUCACACACAGGACUAUAGGGUUGCAGCUGUGUGGCAGCUGUCUUUACUGUGUGUCUAGCCUUGUACGUGUGUGUGUGUGUAUGUGUAUGUAUGUGUGUAUGUGUUGUGCCAGAGUGUGUUGUGUGAGCCCUGUCCCUCGGGGCUUUCUCCCUGAGCCCAGACUCUCUGAUUCGGUGUGUAAAAGCGCCUCUGAAUGAUGGAUUACAGUGUCACCGCAGCCUGCGAAGGAUUAAUUUGUUUCAUUGAUUUCUCUUUAGGCAGAAAGCCAGCGUUUGCCGCUUCCCACCUCCUUCCCGGAGACUCCCAGCCGUAAUAGACGGAGCAGAAGUGGAGAGACGCUGGAUUCUGAAGGCCUCACAAUGCGCAUGAACCUUACGAGGAGGCUUGGGCUGCGUCCGAACAAAGCCACAAGCCUGGAAUACUUACAGUUUUCGAUUCAGGAUGGAUUGGUAAUGAUCAUCUGUCUGACUUCUCAGGUUAAUCCUGGUUUUCUAUCUUGUGAUGACUCAGACAAGCAGUUACUCUGUCUUUUACUGGUUUAAAAUUUACUAAAUAAUGUUUAUUGUAGCUACUUGUAUUGGGUAUUUCAUUUUCUGUAAAAUUAAUGGAGCACUGAAUGUAUCACAUGGCACAAAUGUGAACCGAGGUCUAUGUAUGAGGGGGCUGCCUGAAAGGAUGUGGUUGCUGUGUGGCAGACCUGGGCAGAGGAUCAGAGUGCUUGUAAUGCUCUGGCCAGGGCUCCCCAUGUGCUCCCCCAGGGACCUGGAAACAAACACACACACACACACACACACACACACGAACACAGACAGCUGAACAAAUCUUACAUUAUUUGUUGUAAUCUAUCAUAUUUGAAAAUGUCAGACAAGUACAUUUUGCAUAGAUAGAUGACUACAACUCCAUUAUAAAAAAUAUACAUAUUCAUUUAAAUAAGGUUGAAUGAUCAGUACACACUUUAACGGAACCGAUCAUUUUAAAAAGUUUAACACUGAAACUGGUUGGGUUUUAUAGUGGUCAAAAUCAAAGCAGGCCUUUAUAAAAACUACUUUGAAUUCUUAAAGUUAUUAGCUUAUGUAAUUGAUCAUUUGAAUCUAAUGGAGUUAAUCUAAACUUCAGUAACCCAAAAACCUACUGUGGUCCUUGAUGGUGGAUGGUUCAGGAAUAAAAAUCUCUAUGGUUCAGAGAAUUAUGCAUCAUGUUUUUGUAAACGGUAAAAUAAUGAAGCUAAUUUUUGAAUGAUUGGAUUGUGCUUGUGUAAUAUAUUUUACAGUAAAGGGGUCUAUGAGCUUUGCAAUCUAAAUGUAAAUAUUUAGCACAGUAGCAUUCAACAUAUAUUUUAAAUUCCAUACUAAACGUCUGCAUUGUUUUCAGAAAAAAAUCCUUCAUGACAAAUCUAUGAAAACUAAGCCUGAGUCAAUUCUUCCUUCAAUACAGCAAUUUCAGUUUUCCUCUGAUGGACCGAAGUCCUUCAGCUCAGAUGUGUUGGAGGAUUAGGUAAUCUCAAACAUGAUAUUGCUAGCUGCUGGCUUCUCUCUCACCAGGCUGCUGCUGUCAAGUGCUGUGUUCCACUCAUGAAAAACAAUGGUUCUCAGGGGUUCUUACAUCCUUAAGUGGCUCCAGAAAAGGUUAGUCGUCAGGUAAUUGUCCAGCUCUGGUUGGCUUAUCUUAAUCACAGUGCUUGAGCUGCAGCCCAAGCCUCAGUUAUGAAAAAACUAACACUGUUAAGGGGAGGGGCAGCCAGGCAAGGGGUUUACUUUUUAUUUCCUCUUUCUUUUUCUAGCCUCAAAUGCUGAAAUAAUUUGAAUGCAAUUCACAAGGAAUAGCUGAAUAAAUGCAAUGCUGGAAACUAGAAAAACAAUUCUAAAGGUGAAAAUGCUAGAUGAAAAAUAAUGGGUUCCAAGCAAAACAAGCAAGGUGAGGGAAAAAAAUCGUUUUGUCAUGUUUUUUAUGUACAUUGUUUCCACGCUGAGAGAAAACAUUUCAUGUGAGCAGCUGAAGGCUUUGAUACAUCAGCUGCUGUGUCACUGCUAAAGAGAGAUAAGAUGCAUACACCAUCCAUAAAACGAUGUUCGCU